GACAAUGCCUUCGCCUAGCCACAGCAGCUCCCUCAUACAGACUCCGCAAGCCAAGAGGCCGUGGAGGCAAAUGCAGGCAGCCAGCACACCUCGAACAGCCACCUUGACUGCGGGUGUGUCACCCUAGUCGCCAAGGAAACAUUUGAGGGAAAGCGACAGGCAAUGUGAACAGCCACUUCUCCAUGUAAACGAUACUCUUUCUCUCGGAUGACUCCUACGUUUGCCACGCCAGCACACUUGUGCACAAAGAUGCCGCGGAGGCACGUGCAGGUCAGAGGCAAGAAGCAGUGGCACUGGUGUCAACAUUCGCCCAAUUUCUUUUUCUUACACUGAGGCAGCCACCACACCUCGAACAGCCACCUUAACUGCGGGUGUGUUAGUAGAUUCCUGUUGUACAUAUGCUCAUAAUAAACUUCAGUAAACUUGAAGGCAAAUGGGA
rnacentral:lncRNA from 1 species